UGCCAGCAGCCGCGGUAACACGUAGGGCGCAAGCGUUGUCCGGAAUUAUUGGGCGUAAAGAGCUCGUAGGCGGUCUGUUGCGUCCGCUGUGAAAUCUCGGGGCUUAACCCCGAGCCUGCAGUGGAUACGGGCAGACUAGAGGUAGGUAGGGGAGAAUGGAAUUCCCGGUGUAGCGGUGAAAUGCGCAGAUAUCGGGAGGAACACCGGUGGCGAAGGCGGUUCUCUGGGCCUUACCUGACGCUGAGGAGCGAAAGCGUGGGGAGCGAACAGGAUUAGAUACCCUGGUAGUCCACGCCGUAAACGUUGGGCGCUAGGUGUGGGAUCCUUCCACGGAUUCCGUGCCGCAGCUAACGCAUUAAGCGCCCCGCCUGGGGAGUACGGCCGCAAGGCUAAAACUCAAAGGAAUUGACGGGGGCCCGCACAAGA
rnacentral:rRNA from 1 species